CCUCUCAAGGAGCGUUGCAGCGGCCAGUCCCUCUCCAGGACCGGGGCCGUCAGGCUUGAGUGGGCUCGACCGGCCCCAACGACGCUCACCAGCC
rnacentral:ncRNA from 2 species